rnacentral:lncRNA from 1 species
CUGACACUUAGUAGCCCCAUGAAUCUGGGCAGGCAUCUAACCUCUAUCUGUCUCUGUUUUCUCAGCUGUAAAAUGGGAGCGAUACUAGCACCUACUGCCUAGGAUCCCACUCAGAAUAAGAGUUUCCUACUGCCCUUCUCUUCUCUCAAGUCCUACAGUUCUAUGAAAAGGAGCACAAAUUAGCCACAGAGCAAAGCAGGAAGGAGUAUGUUGAAGGCUAUUUAGGAGAGGAAAAACAUAUUCUGUAGGUGGAGUGAAAGUGCUGAAAUAAGUUUUGACAGAAAUUCACACUAGCUCUGAAAUCAAAGGAUCUGGUUUCAAAUCAUAUCUCUGAAGCAUACUGUGAAGAUUGGACUUGGCUCUCCCCUGAUUGUAAUAAUGAAGCAUUUGUCUGUCUUUCCCACUUUUGUGAUCCUUUCAGAAAACCAAAGAGGUAUUUCUCUUACCUAAUGAAACUAUUUUGGAAAUGCCCAAAGGACUUCAAAACUGUGCAUACCCUUUAACUUGGUGAUACCACUACUGGAUGUGUAUUGCAAAGAGAAAAUAAAAAAAAAAAGGUGAAAGGACCUACUUGUACA